GGGGAACAUGUGUACACCCGUGGCAGAUUCAUGUUGAUGUGUGGCAAAACUGAUACAAUAUUGUAAAGUAAAAAAAAUAAUAAUAAUAAAUUAAUUAAAAAAAUAAACAAGCAAAAAAAAGCAAGUGCUUUAGAAGUCAGUAUAAAAAUAACUUAUUUUGAUAACUCAUAUUUCUGACAAGAUAAUUAAUCACACAUAUUAUAUGCAUUAUGUAUGUAUUCUUCACCCAUGAAUCAUAUGUGCAAUGUAUAUUAUCUGUGGUUAAUUAGCUUAUGUAAAUAUAGAUAUAUUUUCAUGGCAACAUAGAGUAUUAAUAAGACCACUUUGGAAACGGACUACUGUUUACAGUAAUUUUACUAGUAUACCAUUAAGCUCUCAAAGUCUAUUUAGGUCUUCUCCUUGGUGCUACUUACAGAAGGGACAGCCAGCUCAUCACCAGAAUCAGGCCUGCUGUUAGACACCCAUGUAAGCUUAUGAGAUUAAGAAGAAAGCCAAGACGUUUCCCUGACAUCUGUUAUGUUUACACACCAAUAGUAGUACAUCUGUAAAAUAUUAGGAAACAUUGCCUCUAGAAUUUUCCUCUUGAGAAGAGGAAAGGUCAAUGGUGAUGCCAAGCAUUGGUCCUGAGAACAAUAAAGAACAUAACCCUACUCAGCCAAUCCUAGACUGUCCUACAAAUGUGGAACAAAAGAGGAUGCCUAAAUGAGAGCAAGUUUUUCUGGGCUGAGACUACUUUUAACACUUUUUCUAAGGACUUUGAAGUUAUCUAGGACAAGAAAGCUGUACACUGAAAUUACCAACCAGAUUCCUUUGUGUAUCUGGCCCCUGAAUAAAACUACAAAUCUCUACUGGCUUUCACCUACAGACCACAUUGUAAAAUUAUAAUCACUGACUUUUGAAACAGGCUGGUAGAGUUUUACUAGAAGGGAUAUAUAUGGCUGAUUCACUUUCCUGUAUGAUAGAAACUAACACAGCAGUAUAAAACAACUAUACUCCAAUUUAAAAUGGAGAAGGAAAAUGGCAAUCCACUCCAGUAUUCUU
rnacentral:lncRNA from 1 species